AGAGUACAUUAAUACAUUUAUUUCAACAUGAAAAGGACCACAGUCUGCAAAAGAAACUUUGGACUGCUUUGUAAACGUCCAUUUUACAGACCGGGUCUGUGAAGUUAAGAAUUCCUUGAGACACCAUGGAAGAAGGUCGAGGAGAUGGACGGUGCUCUGGCUACCGUAUUCCACUGGAAUUGGGAAGAGGAGAGCCAAAUUUAAGAUUUCGUCGAUUUUGCAUAUCUUUGCAUAGUGACGAGAUCUCCUUUAUACUUGAAGCGGCGCCAAGGCAACCUGAUAAUGAUCUUGAAAGUGAC